rnacentral:rRNA from 1 species
CAGCCGCCGCGGUAAUACGAAGGGUGCAAGCGUUAAUCGGAAUUACUGGGCGUAAAGCGUGCGUAGGCGGUGAGUUAAGUCUGCUGUGAAAUCCCCGGGCUCAACCUGGGAAUGGCAGUGGAUACUGGCUCGCUAGAGUGUGUCAGAGGAUGGUGGAAUUCCCGGUGUAGCGGUGAAAUGCGUAGAGAUCGGGAGGAACAUCAGUGGCGAAGGCGGCCAUCUGGGACAACACUGACACUGAGGCACGAAAGCGUGGGGAGCAAACAGGAUUAGAUACCCCCGUAGUCCCUGUCUCUUAUAA